rnacentral:lncRNA from 1 species
AAUGACCUAAUGGGUCUUUUUUUCCAUCUCCACUGUUCACUUCUAUUAUUGUAGGCAAAACCAGAUUUGGCAAUAAAAUUAUGGAUUUCCAAUUGUCACUGCAAUGUUGCAGCACUCUUAUUCCAUAAUAAUAGCAGUAUUUGCCCACUUUUCAUUUCCCUCUAUAAACUUUUGUGUCUUAUUUUUCCUUCAAAGAGGGCUAUUUUGUAGCCCUCUGACUAAAAACAGCAGUCAGACAGCCUAAUAAUACUGCUUGUAGGUAUAGGAUAAAUAUUUGGGCCUUGUGCCUCCUAAUUUUCAUCAAGAACUCUUCAGUCAGACCUCAAGUCCAGGGUAACAGUACUGGGCAAAAUGUCACUGCUUGUAUCUAUGGGUCAUCCUGUGAAAUAAGGGGAUGCAUGUACAGCCAAGUGUUGGGCUUUUGUUGAUUUCCACAAACAUAAAUUAUGAAGGCAUGGCAUGCAGCACAUCUUUGUGAUUAGUAGAUAGGGCUCCUUAUAUGAUUUCAACACUUUUCUUCUUUCCAUUGAAACCAGUCUUUGACCUGGAGUGUUUUCACACUUCCUAAGAGGUGCAGGCAAAGGUGAUUCUUGCUCUUCUGUUCAGGCAUCUCCAGUACCCAUCAAUGCCCUGCAUCCCUUCCCUUGUUCUCAGAAACCCUACAUAGACUUAUAAAGUGAAGAGGCUCAAACAAAUGAUAACUCACCAAAAAUAACAGGUAAGAAAUGGUGCAAGGACAGCAGCAAUUGCACGUGGUGCUUUAUGGGCUUGCUUCUCAGCAGCUGUUUUUUUCUUUUUUUUCAGAUGGUAGUGCCAAGAAUUUUGAUAGUUAAUACUGAUGUCAAAACUGAAGUAAUGCUGCAAUGAGUCAGGCCCUGCUUCUUCGAAAUGCUGUGUAAAUAUUUGCCAGUUACUUUUCCCAGCAGCCAGCAAGCUAUGCAGUCUUGUUGCUGCUUUUUCAGAAGACAGAUUGGUGGAGGUGAAAUCCAGGAAGACCUGAGUGUUAUGUUACAGUCAUACAGCAAGGAUGGACAAAGGGCAUUGAAGCCCGUACUUCAUAAUCAGCCCCAGAUAAACCUAUCAACAAUACAACUCAGGUUUUUGGAGGCUCAGAUUCAGCAAAACUCCUAAUCCCAUGCUUUGCUUUCAGUUGGAUGAAGUCUUCCCUAGUUAAGCAUGUUUGAGACCUACAGAUCUCAAACUUUGCUCUGCACAGUAAGAUGCAAACAACUUUUUGAACAUCAGUUUAAUGCUUCAGGAUUUUUCCAUGAGCCGGACUGCAAACUUUCUGUGCUGUUCAUCAUGGCAAGGACAAAACUUCCUGUUUCUUUUUGAAAAAAGAAUCAAUAACUGAUCAUCAAAUAGUGUAGUUCAGGGCUUAUUUUCUUCAGCUCCCCUGAGCCAUCCUGUCAGGUACUGCCAGCAAGCUCGAACUAUGAAGACAGCACUGAUUUCCGCAGGCUCUACCAUGGAUGGCCACACUAAGAACAGGCCUAGGACAAAUGUAUUCUCCCAUUGCUGAAGUGUUACCAU